UAAGACGUAGGGGGCGAGCGUUGUCCGGAUUCAUUGGGCGUAAAGAGCGCGUAGGCGGCUUGGUAAGUCGGGUGUGAAAUCCCGGGGCUCAACCCCGUGACUGCACCCGAUACUGCCCGGCUAGAGGUAGGUAGGGGAGAUCGGAAUUCCUGGUGUAGCGGUGAAAUGCGCAGAUAUCAGGAGGAACACCGGUGGCGAAGGCGGAUCUCUGGGCCUUACCUGACGCUGAGGCGCGAAAGCUAGGGGAGCGAACAGGAUUAGAUACCCUGGUAGUCCUAGCCGUAAACGUUGGGUGCUAGGUGUGGGUGGACAUCGACCCCAUCCGUGCCGAAGCUAACGCAUUAAGCACCCCGCCUGGGGAGUACGGCCGCAAGGCUA
rnacentral:rRNA from 1 species